rnacentral:rRNA from 1 species
CGACAGGGAAGAAGUUACAUAUAUAAAUAGUGUAUUGUAUUGACGGUACCUGUAGAGGAAGCAUCGGCUAACUCCGUGCCAGCAGCCGCGGUAAUACGGGGGAUGCAAGCGUUAUUCGGAAUCAUUGGGCGUAAAGGGCACGCAGGCGGUUCUGUCAGUCAGAUGUGAAAGCCCGGGGCUUAACCCCGGACGUGCAUUUGAAACAGCAGGACUUGAGUAUGGUAGAGGAAAGCGGAAUUCCUGGUGUAGAGGUGAAAUUCGUAGAUAUCAGGAGGAACACCGGUGGCGAAGGCGGCUUUCUGGACCAAAACUGACGCUGAGGUGCGAAGGCGUGGGUAGCGAACGGGAUUAGAUACCCCGGUAGUCCACGCAGUAAACGUUGUACACUAGGUGUAGCGGGUAUUGACCCCUGCUGUGCCGGAGCUAACGCAUUAAGUGUACCGCCUGGGGAGUACGGCCGCAAGGCUAAAACUCAAAGAAAUUGACGGGGGCCCGCACAAGCGGUGGAGCAUGUGGUUUAAUUCGACGCAACGCGAAGAACCUUACCCAGACUUGACAUCCUGAGAAUUCUCCAGAGAGGGAGAAGUGCCUUCGGGAGCUCAGAGACAGGUGCUGCAUGGCUGUCGUCAGCUCGUGUCGUGAGAUGUUCGGUUAAGUCCGGCAACGAGCGCAACCCUUGUCUUCAGUUGCCAGCACGUAAUGGUGGGAACUCUGAAGAGACUGCC